AGUGAUAGUUUAAAUGUAUUCUUAUGCUCCCAAUAAAUAAGGUAUGAAGGUAAAAGAAAAAACGAAAAAAGUGAUAGUUUAGGCGUGUUUUUAACACAUACAAAGUUAUUUGCAUCCUCUUUAUAUAAUAGCUACAACUCCACCAUUCAAGCUUUCGAUCCCACGACACAUUUAAGUGAAGCAGGAGGGAGGUAAUAAUUCAGAGAUCUUAAGUAGCAAACAAAACAGGCUGUUAAAUCUCCUCCUUAAAAAGAAAGUGCAUAUAGUCAACAAAACUGUUAGUAAUACUUCUAAAUUAGAAAAUUUUAGCAAACAAGAAUAUUGGUUUUAGUUUCAAGAAAAAAUAUAACUUAGUUUAUGCUGUUACUACCUCUUUGAUGUCUACUGCUUUUAGUAGCCCUUUUUAAAACAAAAAUACUAUCGUAUAGGCUUGUUUUAUCCUAAAAUUACCAACGAAACUGUAAUCGAGAUGUUAAAAUUAAAUUAGUCUCUUAACAUAUGUUUAAGAUUUUAGGUUGAACAUACAUUGCAAAUAAGCAAUUGGAAAGUUGGAGAUGAUAAAGUUCUACAGCAACAAGCUCUGCGACGGUGGGAGGCUAUGCAAAUUGGGAAUAUGUCACCUACAGCAGUGGGAAGAAGACUUGGGCAGAUGAAAUAGAAGAGGAGAAUGUGCGCACAAAAUCGCAAGGGUCGGUAUGGGAGAAAGUAUCUAAUGCAGGGUUCAAGCUAGAAUACAUUUCUCCUAUACAAACUGGAGAGGCACCUAUAGUAGAAAUCAAACUUGAGGAUAUAGGUUCGGAGUUGGAAUUCUGGAAAAAUAUUGUGGUAUUUUAUGUACUAGGGGCUCAUCGCCCUUUCGCUGUGACUAAAGGGUAUGGGCCAAACAUGGAAUAAACAAAAUGUUGAUGUUGAAGAAUGGGAUUACCCUUCUUCGUUUGGUUCGGUUUGAUACAGCUGCAGGGAAGAAUGAAGUGAUACAAGGGGGCAUUAUCAUUUUGAUAACAAGCCAUUUAUAGUAAAGGCAUGGGAUGCGGAUAUGGAGUUUACAAGGACAGAGUGGUAUACUGUCCUGAUUUGGGUGAAGUUCAUGGAUUGGAAUGCAAAUAUUGGAGUGCUUAAGGGCUCAGCAAGAUAGGAUGUUUGGUGGGGAAACCAUUAAUGGUAGAUCAGAAUACUGAGAAGAAAAUUGGGUGAAAACCAUGCUCGAAUUUUGAUAGCAGUGGAAUUGGAUGCCAAAUUCCCAGAGAAAAUUACUUUCAGGAACGAAAAGGGUACUCUAAUGGAGCAAAGGGUGGUGUAUGAUUGGAAACCAACCUCUGUACAUAUGUAAGAAGUAGGGGCAUGCUGAAGGAGAUUGCAGGAAAAAGCUAACCCCUCCACCAGUGAUCCAGAAUGCUGAAAACACCAAGGCGAGGGAAAACCAGGGAGAGAGUUCGUUGAAAGAGCAGCGAACAAUAGGUGCAAAGGUUGUAAAUCAGAAAAUGAACAAGCAGGGUUAACCAAAAUUCACUGAAUUUGCAAGAGCAAAGUCAAGGGGAUAUGAACAAGCAAACAAACCAAAGUGAACAAGCGGCACCAACUGAAGAGUGGGUUACACCACAAAGAGUUGGCAAGACUACUCAACAACAUACAAAGCAGCAUAAAGUGACUGAUUCAAACACAUUUCAGCCUUUACAUCAGGUUGGGACUAGCGCAAAGAGUAUAAUUGAGACGGCUAGUACUGGGAGAGGUCAAACCAUAACCCUGUCUGGGAAUGGUUAACAUAUUAUGAUGGAAUGUUAGAGGCUUAAAUGGCCUGAAUAAGCAGAAAGAGGUUGCUCUUCUCUGCAACACUGAAAAAGUGGGUCUAGUAGGCUUACUACAGACCAAAAUAAAGAAGAACAAGGUGGAGCAAGUAGCGAGAAAAUUGUUUGGGGGUUGGCACUACUUAACCAACCUAGGUUAUCAUUAUAAUGGGAGAGUUUGGCUCACUUGGAGACCUGAUCAAUACCAGGUGAUGCCUAUCAGUAUGACUGCUCAGGUAAUCACUUGCGAGGUGACUUUCCGACAGAAGCAAUUGAAGUUCAUGCUUUCAGUGGUGUAUGCAUUUAAUACUAAGGAAGAAAGAAAGGAUCUAUGGAACUACCAAGAGAAUUUAUCUCAAGGGUGUCAAAUGCCUUGGAUGAUUCUAGGGGACUUUAACUCAGUCCUUAAGGAUGAAGACAAAAUAGGAGGGAAUCCAGUGCUUUGGUCAGAAGUGAUUCAUUUCCAAAAUCGUGUGAAUAAUUGCUCACCAGUCGAAAUGCCCCAACAAGGAAACAAGUACACUUGGGAUGACAAGAGUAGUGACCCAAGAAUCUUUUCAAAGAUAGAUUGGGUAUGCACUAAAGGAGAAUGGUUGGCUUCUAUGCCCACAUCUAUGGUGAGGUUCUUGCCUGAAGGAAUCAGAGAUCAUUGCCCAGCCAGAGUAUCACUAAUAGAAGAAAGAUCUAGGAGAAGGAAAUCAUUUCAAUUAUGUAAUCAGUCAUUGUCACAAAUGGAUGGUAAGUUAAUAUUGAAGGUUCCAAAAUGUUGAAAGUUGUUAAGAAAUUGAAAAUGUUGAAGAAAGCGCUCAGGAAUCUAAAUACUUGCCACUUAAGGAAUAUCAUUGAUGAAGCAAAUGAAGAUAGGGUGUCACUUAAGAAGGCUCAAGAAAAAUUGCAGUAAGAGCCCACAAGAGCAGACCUCCAGGAGGAUGAUAGGAUAAAAUAUCAUAAACUUCUAUGUUCAUCUUAUUUAGCCGAGCUAUUCCUCCAGCAAAGAAGUAAAGUAAAUUGGUUAAAACUGAGAGAUUACUUCUAUUCAGUGAUCAAGUACUGGGGACUAAAACAAGCCACAUCUCGGUUGAAGGAUGAGAAGGGCGUGCGGAAAUCUGAUCCAGAUGACAUUGCAAAAAAAAAUAAUUUGAAAAUGGUAACUUUGUCUAUUCCCCAAAAGUCAGUACACUGAUGUACAUUGCAAAACUCUUUGUAUCGUACAUGAGAAUUUACUUGGGAGGAAGAGUAAUGCAAGAGUUAAGACUUUUCAGAGUUUCAUCAUAAUUGGCAAUACUAACUACUGAACAUAAGGAGAGAUUAAUGUUGCUUUAUAUGAUGAAAAUGUCAAGAAUGCCAUAUUUUCGAUAGAUAGUACAAAGAAUCCUGGAUCAGAUGGGUACGGGAGUGGAUCUUUUAAAGCAGCCUAGGCCAUCAUAGGGGGUGAAAUCUCGGAUGUUGUGCUAGAAUUCUUUCAUAAUGGCAAAUUAUUGAGGCAGAUCAAUUAGACUAUAUUGCACUGAUUUCCAAAGUUUGUGCUCCAGAAUAUGGAAAUCAAUUUAGACCCAUCUCUUGUUGUAAUGUGAUCUAUAAGAGCAUAUGAAAGAUGAUAUGUAGCAGGUUGAAGGAUGCAAUUUAACUACCUGGUGGUAGAUAACCAAUCGGCUUUUAUGCAGGUUAGAUCCAUGGUACAUAAUGUCUUGAUUUGCCACGACCUAUUAAAAACACUAUAAGUGGAAGACAUCCCCGCAGUGCCUAAUGAAAAUAGACCUCAAAAAAGCCUAUAACAUGGUUAGCUCGGAGAUUUUGGAGGAGGCUCUAAAGGUUAUGGGUUUCCAAGGGAGUUCACUCAGAAAAUCAUGACUUGUGUUGCAUCUCCUAUGUUCACAGUAAAGGUGAAUGGAGAAGGAUCUGGCUAUUUUAGAGGAUAAAGGGGGUGAGACAAGGAGAUCCCAUGUCAUGGAGUACCUUUCAAGGAUCCUAAAAAGUGUAAGGUCAUUGCCAGACUUUAAGUUUCAUCCCAUGUGUAAGCAAGUCAAGUUGACACAUUUGAUAUUUGUUGAUGUCGUAUGGUGUUUUGUAAAGGGGAAGUAAAAUCCGUGAACAAAAUGUUUGAAGGACUGGCCACUUAAGUUAGCUCACAUGAUUAGAGGCGAUUAUGGAGAAGUCCAGCAUUUUUACAGCAGGGAUGACUGAGACUAAGGAAGCACUACUCAAUAGAACUGGAUUUACACUUGGCUUUUUUCCAAUCAGAUUUGUCCUCCAAGAAGUGGUCGAAGAUGGAAUGUCAUCAACAGAUUGCCAAAAUAACCCAGCGGAUAACUGUCACUUAUUCGAAGAAGUUAUCAUACGCAGGAAGGUUACAAGUGAUAACAUCAGUCAUAUUCUCGAUACAUAACUUCUGGGAAUCUGUCUUUAUACUACCCCCAUAGUGUUGUCAAAGAGGUGGAUAAAAUUUGUAGGGCCUACUUAUGGGAAAGUACUAGAGAUAAAAGACGAAUAACCUUGGUCUCCACACUAAACAUAAAAGACGAAUAGCCUUGGUCUCGUGGGAGAAGGUCUGCAUACCUACGAAGUACGGGGGGCUCAACAUUAAAGGUUGCCAUGACUGGAAUGUUGCUUCGGUCGGAAGCUGUUAGGGCAAUUAAUCGAGCAUAAAGAAUCUUUGUGGGUCAAGUGGGUACACGUCGUCUAUAUGAAAUCAGAUGAUAAUAUUUGGUCUCAUAUUGCUCCUCCAAACAGUAGUUGGUACUGGAAGAAACUAAAUGGAUUGAAGAAUGAAAUAAAGCAUUAAAACGCUUUGGAGAACUCUUUGGAAGACGCUGCAUCGAUUUGGAAUAGAAUAGCACAACCAAGGCACAAGUUUAUAUUGUGGUUAGCUACACUGGGCAGACUCCUUACGAAGGAAAUUUAAUAAAGAUGCACAUUAAGGUUGAAAAAGGAGAGUGUUGUCUUUGUGACACACAUGAGGUUGAGACAACAGUCCAUUUAUUUGGUCAUGUAUGGACGCAGAAGGUAAAUGAAGCAAUCAUGCAGUGACUCACAUACAGAUAGAAGCAACUGGAAAUGAUCGGGUACUACAGGAAAUCAAAAGAAAGCAUUGAAGUAAAGCAAAGAAAGAAAUAAUUGCUGCUCUAUGGGGGCUAUGGUAUAUCACACUUGGAGAGCAAAGAAUUGGAAAAUAUAUAGAGCAGUAAAUGUACAAAAGGAGCAAGUUAUAACACAGAUCAAAAAGGAAUUCAUAGACAGGAUAGCUAGAUUUGGGAAUCAAAAAAACUGUAUACAUAUUACCUCAAGGCUAUUCAUUCACGAACUUCAAAGUAUUGAUGGAUCGUUCACAAGGAUGGAGGCUGUUGAACACGUAUGGAUGACGAGGGGGGAGUUUCAUGCCUUGCAUGGGAACAUAUGCACCUUAAAGCAGCUCCCAAUUGGGCAACACCAUGCUUGGAUGAUAGCUUGGAGCGUGGGAGGCCUAAUGAAGUGAGGAAGAGGAAUUGAAGAUGUGCUCCAUUCGGCGAGAGGACAGCCACUUCGGCGACUCACCAAACCCCUUUUGGCAAGAGUCCCAAGGUCGCCAACUGGUCCAAGGAGCUACAUAAGGGAAAGCUGACCAUUCGGCGAGAUGGAGGCCAUUGGCGCAUCGCCAAAUGGAUUGAGUGAUGGUCCCCAGACCGCCCAAAGUUCAAGUAGCUCCCCAGCCAAGUCAAGGAGCAGAGUUCCUCGCCGAGUCCAUUGGGCGCAUCUCCCAUUUCGGAUCAUUUUUGGGCCCAUUUAUGUAAUAAGUCCCAAGUCCUAACACUAUAAAUAGGUGUCUUAGGGUUCAUUUUAGGAAGACUGAUUUUGAAUAUUGAUAAAUGAUAAAUUUAACUCCUUAUGUGAGUGCAGAAAGCUUGGUAAGCUUUUGUCGAACAUUGUUCAAAAACGAGGGUUGCUUGGGAUAUCGAUUCCCUUGAGCUCUUUGUAAGAGUUGGGUGCUUGAUUGUGGAUUAAUCAAUUGAGGUCUUUACGUUUAAUAUACCUUUAGGUUGCUUUUGAUUUU